CGGCGCCUCGCGCAUCCUGGAGCGGACCCUGAGCAGCCGCAGCCAGGCCGUGGCCAACUACGCGCUGGUGCCCUUCCACGACCCAGAUAUCGGCCCAGUGACGCUCACUGCAGACCCGGUGGUGUUCCAGAAGGAGCUGAGAGAACUCUACGUGCAGGGAGGCGGUGACUGCCCCGAGAUGAGCGUGCAGGCCAUCCAGGCCGCCGUGGAGGUGGCCAACCCCGGCUCCUUCAUCUACGUCUUCUCAGAUGCCCGUGCCAAGGACUACCACAGGAAGGACGAGCUGCUGCGCCUCCUGCAGCUGAAGCAGUCGCAGGUGGUCUUUGUGUUGACCGGGGACUGUGGCAACCGCACCCAUCCGGGAUACCUAGCCUAUGAGGAGAUCGCCUCCACCAGCUCGGGGCAGGUGUUCCACCUGGACAAGCAACAGGUGACAGAGGUGCUGAAGUGGGUGGAGUCGGCAAUCCAGGCUUCCAAGGUGCACCUGCUGUCCACAGACCACGAGGAGGAGGGCGAGCACACGUGGAGAAUCCCUUUCGACCCCAGCCUCAAGGAGGUCACUAUCUCCCUGAGCGGGCCAGGGCCUGAGAUCGAAGUCCGGGAUCCGCUGGGGAGGAUCCUCCAGAAGGACAAGGGCCUCAACGUGCUGCUCAACAUUCCCGACUCAGCCAAGGUGGUAGCCUUUAAGCCCAAGCACCCGGGGCUGUGGUCCAUCAAGGUCUACAGCAGCGGCCGCCACUCGGUGAGGAUCACAGGCAUCAGCAACAUUGACUUCCGAGCCGGCUUCUCCACCCAGUCUUCUCUGGACCUCAACCACACCAUCGAGUGGCCCUUGGAAGGCAUCCCCAUCUCCCUGGUGAUCAACUCCACCGGCUUGCAGGCCCCGGGGCACCUUGACUCCGUGGAGCUCUCGCACCACUCGGGGCGGCCCCUCCUGACGCUGCCCACGCAGCCCCUCUCCAAUGGGUCCACCCACCAGCUGUGGGGCGGGCCGCCCUUCCACGCCCCCAAGGAGCGCUUCUACCUCAAAGUGAAGGGCAAGGACCACGAGGGGAACUCCCUCCUCCGUGUCUCCGGGGUUUCCUACAGUGGGGUGGCUCCAGGUAAGAGCUCCUGAGUCUCAUUUCUUCCUGGAUUUCUUCCCUGAUUAGACUAGAUUAGGAAAUGUUUGCUCAUUAAGGUUCUGUGGAA
rnacentral:lncRNA from 1 species